rnacentral:lncRNA from 1 species
ACCCACUCACUGGUGAGCUCCGCAAGAGUGUACUUCUCUCCGUCCCUGGAGCGCCACGGCGUGCUGGUGCAUAGUAAGCAUCUGUCCAUGUCUGUCCAGUUGAAUUUCUUGAGAGUCAUUUGACCUUCUCAGCAGCUCUGGAGAACCCACAUUGACCAGAGACUUUGCAGCCAGCUCACCCCUCCAAAUCCCCGCCCUGGAGUCCCUGACCCAGGAAUUUCUGCAUCAGGCUGCUCAAACCUGAAUUUGACAAAAUUUCAAAGCGCUGUAUCUUUAUGUUGAUAAGACAACGGAUAAAGUGCCAUACUUGGAACCUAGAUCACUCAAUGUUGCCUGUAGCUGAGUCCACUUCUGUCACUCACCCUGCAUUGCCCUGCCAGGAGCAAGGGAGAGAAAGCCAGCCAGAAGGCAUGGGCAUGGGCUCAAAUCUGGCUUCUCCUGUGGCCACUGUGAAAGUUGAUCAUACAAAGGUCACUGUUGUCAUAGCCAAGCAGAGUUAUGAGACCACAGGAAAAAGCACUUGGACCACGUAACAUUGCUCCAAGAGUAUAACUGUCUCCAACCCUGGCUGCUGGAACAAGUGUUGCAACCUGAAACCGGUUUGAUCUAAUAGCUACAGAAACAACCUGCGGAAAUCUAAGACUAGUUUCACCCACUCACCAAUCAGAGCUUGCCGGAUCCCCAAAACGUUGCUAGUGCUAAUGAACUUGCUUUCCUAACAAUCCAUAACAUUUCUCAUUUUUAUGAAACCUACAACCUUCUCUUUGCUCUUUGGACAUACUGAAGACCACCCAGUCUGUGUGUAUGCCCCAAACUGAAAUUCUUGCUCCCCAAAUAAAACAUUUUAAACUUAGAGAUUUGUCUGUAUAUUUUAUUUGACUUUGACAGCACCAGGGGCUCCGGCACAAAUCUCCUCCUUCAAGCCCUUUUCUACACAGUCCCGUGGGUCUACCCUGAAAGAAGCCUGAUGACGGCUCAAAGACACAAUGUUACUGGGAGGUAAAUUCAGGAUUACUUGACCGAAUGGCCCACCCGAGGUCACGGAGGCUGCUGGAGGAACAGAAAAUGGUCUUCACCAAGUGAAGCAUUGUCGGUCUUGGCCUGUGUCUGGCUGGAGAAUGUUAAAAUUCUGGGGACACAACAGAAAAGGCACAGUUGUGGGGACCAGGCCAAUGUCAGCGUGAGAACUGGCUCCAUCCCCCUCCCAUGAACCAGCUCUGCGGCCAAGGCAGGUCUGCAUUUCCUGGUCUGUGACACGGAGUCAGUAACAUUGCCUACUUCCCGGGGCUAUUUCCAGAGAAGUGAGGGAAUGGGUGUGGAACGCCUGCCAUCUGCGGAGCCCCGCAUGAAACGUCUCUGUCUUUCCAGCCAGCCCUGAGCCAGGGAAGGGACUGGAAGCACAGCGGGUGGCUGAGGCGGGCUUUCGGCAGCUUACCCCCAGCCUUGCCCCUCCCCGCCUGCUGAAACACAAUCUAUGGUUGUCGCCUUCCUGGAGAUGUUAGCCGCCCCCUCCAGAGGUGGUUCCAAAUCUAUUUCUCAUUUGGCUGAUUUAGGAGAGGCUGCGAAUCGGUCGCUAUGGUUUCUUUAUUUUCUCCUGACAGCUUAGGAAUCAUUUUUCCAAUUAUUCCCAGGGGAGGAAAAAGAAGUGGAGGAAGCCAGUGUUUGGAAUGAGGGGAAGCUCACGGAUCUGAAAUGCAACCUCUUCUGCAGGAGACCCGGCACAGCUACCGGGACCCAUCACCUCCCUGUAGGAACCCCGCCCAGCCCCCUCCAGCCAGCCCUGCGUGGUUGUGGCCCCACUGCAGAAACGCCUCCGCUUAACACUCCAGCCUCUCUUCUAUUCGGUCAGGCCACAGCUGCUGACUUUGUGCCUGCUGUAGCAACCCCGAGCCCCCAAAUAAACCCUCCCUCCCAGGGUGGCCUCUCUACGGGGGGAGACAGACGGUG